AGCAGAAGGAUGGGUUUAGAAUUAGAUUGUUGCGGUCCAUCACUCUCCACAGGGAGCCUAAACUACUGAACAUCUUCCACCCCGCACGCAUCGGGUUACCCCACUAGUCGGUAGUCUCACUGUGGGCGUGGUACCCAGAACUUACCCAGCUCUUCUGUGAGUCUCCCUAGAGAAAAAACGAAGAAAAGAGGAAAAUCUCAAUUGAUGUACACUGAGGCUUCACUUCUCCAAAGAGCACAGACUCGGCCCCAGUGCGUUCUGAGGAACCAGGAGGGGCUACACGCGAGGGAGGAGCGGGCUCCGUGGCAGGGGAAGUGGCAAAGCAAACCUCCGCCACCGCGUUUCUCACUUCCAAGCGCCCCGGGUCUGAAGUACUCGCCUUCCUGAACCAGCAAAUUCCCCCUCUCCCCACCACCUUCAGCUAGUUAAGGGUGCGGGCAAAGAGCGCGCCUCUUUCCCUGCUUACCUUUGUCCUUCUCAGCCUGCUCCUUCAACUUUUCUGAAAAGAGGAAAGAAGGGGAGGGCACGUAACGGUACACACUCGCCUGCUGUUUCCAAGGCCCACCCCAGCCCCGCGUUUUCGCAAGACCGCACCUCUUUGGUGCCCUCUCCGCGGGCCUCCUCCUCCACUUUCCUCCCAGCAAAGCCUGAGCCUGGCGGGAGGCCCCCAGCCUGCCCCGUACCUUGGGACCUACGUUGCUUCUGAAAGAAGUACAGCGCCAGCGUCAAGAGAAAAGCCAGGAGGAAUGGCAGUCCCACCAGAGACCCAAGGAAAGCUCUCUUCCAGGGUGAGGUUCCGGGUAAAAAUGCAUCUGGAAAACACCCCACAAGGAGUUGUUUCGCUUUAGGCGCCACUAAACACUAAGUGAGAAGACUAUUCUGGACCCAGCGUGCCGGAAAUCCUUCCAAGUUGGCAGGCGUUAAACCUUCUGGGCAGCACCAUAGCAAUCUGUGAAAACUGGCAUCAUGACAGCGGCCGCACCACGCUCUCCCCAGGCUCACUGAGGAGGCUCUGCCCUGAAGCAAGAUGUGGCCCAGGCCCACUCAGACAGGGGCUAGAUGGCAAAGAGAUACAUGGAAAAUGGAAGGAAUGUGAACCUGAGUGCAAGAGUUCGAUAUUUAUUGAGGGCUCUCAAUAAAUAUCAUUUAAGGGAUGAAAUUAGGAACACAUGGGAUCUCAUGAUGACCUCUAAUUAAUAGUUUCUGGAUUUCAGGGCAUGGACUUUAGUGCAUAAGUUGGUUCCCUGGGGCCUCCCCUGCAUACUGUCUGGGUGAGUGGUAGCUGUUGUACUCUUAGUAGGUUCCUGAUAUCCAAAUCACUAACUUUUCAGGUGUCAAGACCAGCCCACCCCAUAGACAGCCAGGCCCCAGUACCACUGUGCCCUUUUAGAUGGCCUUUGGAACAAUGUACAGGGAGGACAUGAUGAGUAAGAAGAUGAGGGUUAGUUGGCACCAACUGACCUGCUAUCUGGAUGGUGAACUCUUUCUUCUGUAUCAGGAGAGAGUUCUGGAUGGAGCAGGACACAUUACUGUGGGCACCCCCUUGAACAAUCACAGAUGUUUCCAGAUUGAACAGGCCCUGGGCAUCCUGGACUAUGGCUUCCAUCUUUGGAGGCAGGCACUGUCCUUUAUGAUCUUUCCACUGAGCCUGGGGCUUGGGGUACCAGCCACUGGAACUGCACUUCAGCUGAAUGCCUCCCUCCUUGAAGCCCUCAAGGGAGAUGUGAGGGUCUGAGCCCAUCCCUGGGAAAAGCAAGAAGAGUGGGAAAGAUCAGGCUCCUUCCCAGAAGUUGUACAUGAUGUUCAUGCCACCACUCACCAUCUGCAGUCAUUAUAAGGAAUCAUGACUGUGACUGCUCCUAACACACAUGUGGGCUCACAGCCCCCACCUGUGGAAUGUAAAUUACAGUUUAUUUUUAAGUUUAUUUAUUUAUUUAUUUUGAGAGACAGAGUAUCUGCAUGUGCAAGUUGGGGAGGGGCAGACAUAGAGGGAGAGAAUUCCAAAUAGGCUUCAUGUUGUCAGCGUAGAGCCCCAUAUGGGGCUCGAUCCCACAAACCAUGAUAUCAUGACCUGAGCCGAAAUCAAGAGUUGGAUUAUUAACCUACUUAGCCACCCAGGUGCCCAUAAAUAAUAUUUUAAAUUUGUGGUGGCAUGUGGGACAUGGGAACAGUAGUACCCAUGAAGGACAUUUGGAAAUAUUAUGGGGGGCUAUUUGGCCAAGAAGAGCUGCUGGAAUUUAGUCAUAUUACAUAAGGGACAGUCCCUUGAAGUAAAGAAAAAUCCCACCCCAAAUUUCAAUAUAUUGCCCUCUGUGUCUCUUGAAUCCCACCAGCAUUCAAGUGCCUGUGUCACAUGCACUCCUUUAUUUCUCCAUCCUGAGGAGCUAACUUUAUAUUUUGAAUAUGCAAAACAUUAAUAUGUUUAGGAACAUGCAGAAGAAUGAAACUAGACCAC